AGCGGCGGAUGGGUGAGUAACACGUGGGGAACCUGCCCCUAAGUCUGGGAUACCAUUUGGAAACAGGUGCUAAUACCGGAUAAUAAAGCAGAUCGCAUGAUCAGCUUUUGAAAGGCGGCGUAAGCUGUCGCUAAGGGAUGGCCCCGCGGUGCAUUAGCUAGUUGGUAAGGUAACGGCUUACCAAGGCGACGAUGCAUAGCCGAGUUGAGAGACUGAUCGGCCACAUUGGGACUGAGACACGGCCCAAACCCCUACGGGAGGCAGCAGUAGGGAAUCUUCCACAAUGGACGCAAGUCUGAUGGAGCAACGCCGCGUGAGUGGAGAAGGUUUUCGGAUCGUAAAGCUCUGUUGUUGGUGAAGAAGGAUAGAGGUAGUAACUGGCCUUUAUUUGACGGUAAUCAACCAGAAAGUCACGGCUAACUACGUGCCAGCAGCCGCGGUAAUACGUAGGUGGCAAGCGUUGUCCGGAUUUAUUGGGCGUAAAGCGAGCGCAGGCGGAAAAAUAAGUCUAAUGUGAAAGCCCUCGGCUUAACCGAGGAACUGCAUCGGAAACUGUUUUUCUUGAGUGCAGAAGAGGAGAGUGGAACUCCAUGUGUAGCGGUGGAAUGCGUAGAUAUAUGGAAGAACACCAGUGGCGAAGGCGGCUCUCUGGUCUGCAACUGACGCUGAGGCUCGAAAGCAUGGGUAGCGAACAGGAUUAGAUACCCUGGUAGUCCAUGCCGUAAACAAUGAGUGCUAAGUGU
rnacentral:rRNA from 1 species